UACGAAGGGGGCUAGCGUUGCUCGGAAUCACUGGGCGUAAAGGGUGCGUAGGCGGGUCUUUUAAGUCAGGGGGUGAAAUCCUGGAGCUCAACUCCAGAACUGCCUUUGAUACUGAAGAUCUUGAGUUCGGGAGAGGUGAGUGGAACUGCGAGUGUAGAGGUGAAAUUCGUAGAUAUUCGCAAGAACACCAGUGGCGAAGGCGGCUCACGUGGCCCGAGUACUGACGCAUGAGGUGGCGAAAGCGUGGGGAGCAAACAGG
rnacentral:rRNA from 1 species